CUUGGAAAAUCAUGGAGAAUAAUCCCUAACAUAGAAUAUGCAUUCAGUGAGACAGAAAGACGAAACUCCUUCAAUAAACUAUCACAUGAAUUAAUUAGUAACCCCAACCAUGUUUUCUAAUAAUUACCCCUGGAUAAAAACAGUGAAAUUGACAAAACUACCCCUGAAGUCCUUAAACCCUUUUUUACCAUCGCUUUUUCAGAGCAACGGCGCAAAGUAUUUCUCUGCUUUUGGGGAGGUGCUUGUGUUGGGGUGAUUGAAGAACAUCUUUGACAUUAUUAUCUUUUCUCACAAGGUCGUCUUAUGGAUCAUCAACUAUUGUCCGAUAUUGAAUGCUUUAUUAUCCUUGAGGAGAUAUUGUUUCUUUUCAUGGUUAUGGUCAUUCUACAAGAAGAAACCGUAAAAAUAGGCGUGUGACUAGAGCAUCUGAAAAUGAACAUGCUGGAUCCCAACAAUAUCAUAAACAAGGCGAGUGUGGUAAUACGUCCUCUUCUAGUGUUAAUGAAAAAGAGAAAAGCAAGAAAAGAAAAUGGCUUGUGGAGGAUGCUAAUGAGACAUUUCUUAAGGGUAUGAUGGAAGUUAUGAAAAACUUUACUGAAAGUCAAGACAAAAUAAUGGUUGCCUUGAUUGACAAGAUUGGGGAUCGUGACCUAUCCGAUAUUCGUGGUCAAAUUUAUUCCAUCAUUGAAUCUCCCGUAUUUGAGGUGUACUCUGCAGAGCAACGUAUCAACGCUACAAUGGUUCUCUGUAAAGAUGUCAAAAAGAUGGAACUGUUUUUACGUAUGGGUGAACUUCAGCGCCAGACAAUGAUGUCCAUGAUCGUCAGUGGUAAACUUUGAAGUAUGGUAAACUUGUGUAUAUAAGUGGCGGCACUAGUUUGAUAGUUUUUGCUCGACUAACAACUUCAAAGUUUGACUGUAGUGCCACUUUUUGAUACCUCGGGUUAUGUCCAUCCUCUUUUGUUUGACUGGUGGGCACGGGGAUGCUAAUGUUUUUUGUGUAACUAAUGUCUAUUAAAUAGCUUAACUCUAGUGUAAAUGUUAAGGGCAUAUGUAAUUAUAUAACUGCUAUGACAGUUCUUCAAUUUCUUUUUUA